CUUCCGUUUGCGUUUGAUACGAUACACUAACGGACAAAGAAAGAAGAUUUUAUUUGCUUUGCCAAACGAUCUCACGAAAAAAUGACUCUGGUCCACAAGCAAGAAAGCAUUCUAGGACAGAGCGUGUGUCUGGAAGCCCUGUCUGUAAGUUAACAUUUAUACAUGCAUUUAAGAAACCAGACACUCAGCCUGUUGCUUAUCAUGUGACUGUUCUGAUGGGUUUGUCUCUUCCUGCCUUUUUUCAGGUCAGUAGACAUCACUGCCACCACCACCUGCAUAUGAGUCAACACCACACAGGAAACCAGCCGGUCGCCCAGAACUGGAUGGGUGUAUUCUAACGCAAGCUCGGCCUGCCACUUCAUCUUGGGACCCAGUUGAAGCAACUUUUCCUGACAAGCCCGGAGGUUCGACCGGAGGUACUGCCAUCCGACGCAUGCUACGGCGAGUGGCAACCAAUGAUGUUCUAAAACUGUAUAUCCUGCGGGGCAGAAAAGGAAAGAAGGCCUUCCAGGACUUGACAAUCUGCAGGGUUAUAACGGGCAGGUGUUAUUUUAUUGUUCACAUCAGUAUUAUGCUUAGCUUGGCUAAUAAAAGGUUUUAAUUUGACUUGUAACGUUGCUUCAUUUUGACUUCUACUCUAGCGGUCUUCCAGAAAAACUUCCCCGCGCUGACUGCAGCAGACGCGGAGGACUUGAUUGGUGCUGAAGUUUGCCCCACACAGACGGUCAGCUGAGAAGGACUGAGCCUUCAAAACCAUGGAGCUCUAUU